rnacentral:rRNA from 1 species
CCCCUAGAUGUUCUGGGCCGCACGCGCGCUACACUGAACAGUUCAACAAGUCUUAACCUUGGCCGAUAGGUCUGGGUAAUCUUUGAACGCUGUUCGUGAUUAGGAUAGACCUUUGCAAUUAUGGGUCUUCAACGAGGAAUUCCUAGUAAACGCAAGUCAUCAGCUUGCAUUGAUUACGUCCCUGCCCUUUGUACACACCGCCCGUCGCACCUACCGAUUGAAUGGUCCGGUGAAAUCUCGGGACGGCGGCUUGGUCGCUUGCGUCCGACUGCUGAAACUUGAUUAAACCAUAUCAUUUAGAGGAAGGUGAAGUCGUAACA